rnacentral:rRNA from 1 species
AGAGAGAGUUAAAGAGGACGUGAGACCGGUAAGGUGGAAACGGAUAAAGUCGGCGUAUCAUUCAAGUAUUCAGUUACAUUAUUUUUAUGUUGUGACCUCUGAGCUCCAGAUUGGGACAGAGGGAAUCAGCAUAAUUUUUUGUGGUGCAUUUACUUGAUUGGUGCUUGGGGAUGUUUGAGGCAGAUUUGUUUCCGUCGUUUUGAGGCCAGCUUGCUGGUACCCAAACGGUGUUAGCAUUUUUUGUCUUGGGCAUUUGAGUAUGGCUCACGUGUAUUUAUUGGACAGAUCUGAGUGUAAGUUACGGUCGCAUGCGACACGUGCUUUUCAAUUAGUUCGGUCCAGUUAAUGCUCUCGUACUCGUUCCCCAUGUAAAAGCCGGUCAUCUAUCCGACCCGUCUUGAAACACGGACCAAGGAGUUUAUCGUGUGCGCAAGUUUUUGGGUGUUAAAAACUUAAAAGCGAAAUGAAAGUAAAUGACUCUUUAGAGUCUGAUGUGCGAUCUUGUAAAAAAGUGUAGCAUGGCCCCAUUCUAACUGUUUACAGUAGGGUGGCGGAAGAGCGUACGCGGUGAGACCCGAAAGAUGGUGAACUAUUCCUGAGCAGGACGAAGCCAGAGGAAACUCUGGUGGAAGUCCGAAGCGGUUCUGACGUGCAAAUCGAUCGUCUGACUUGG